GACGAACGCUGGCGGCGUGCUUAACACAUGCAAGUCGAACGGAAAGUCCCCUUUUGGGGUCCUCGAGUGGCGAACGGGUGAGUAACACGUGAGUAACCUGCCCUUGACUCCUGGAUAACGUCAGUAAACUAGGGCUAAUACCGCAUAGGCAUCCUUUCUGCAUUGUGGGGGUUGGAAAGCUUCGGAGGUUUUGUAUGGUCUCGCGGCUCAUCCGCUUGUUGGUGGGUUAGUGGCUUACCAAGGCUUUGACGGGUAGCCGGCCUGAGAGGGCGAGCGGCCACAUUGGGACUGAGACAGAGACACGACUCCUACGGGAGGCAGCAGUGGGGAAGAUUGAACAAUGGGCGGAAGCCUGAGGCAGCAACGCCGCGUGCGGGAGAACGGACUUCGCGUUGUAAGCCGAUUUCAGCAGGAGCGAAGCUUGUGGUGACGGUACCUGCAGAAGAAGCACCGGCUAACUACGUG
rnacentral:rRNA from 1 species